rnacentral:lncRNA from 1 species
CGCAUUUGAAACCUUUAGGGGCAGUCUUUCCACAGUUGUUGAGCAACAAGCUGAGUGAAAGAGCAGCAUUAAGGUGAGCUCCCAAGACAUUAGCUUUAAUGGCAGUGCAAAGACAAACAGCAGCAUCAACAUCAGCAAGAUUCUCAAUAAGAGAGCAACAUGAACUCUUUGAUGACAAUAAUGGGCUUCCAAUAACAACAUGCACCAAGUCAUUCAAUAAAUUGGCACACACCUUUAAUUUUAGUGUGUCCUUUGGGCACUUAUGAUAAGUUGAUGGGGGAUUCUUGUGUUGAGUCUUUGGUGGACAUGAGAUGUAAGUUGAAGUAAC